rnacentral:rRNA from 1 species
UACGUAGGGGGCAGGCGUUAAUCGGAAUUACUGGGCGUAAAGCGUGCGCAGGCGGCUUCCUAAGUCAGAUGUGAAAUCCCCGGGCUCAACCUGGGAACUGCGUUUGAAACUGGGAGGCUAGAGUGCGGCAGAGGGGGGUGGAAUUCCACGUGUAGCAGUGAAAUGCGUAGAUAUGUGGAGGAACACCGAUGGCGAAGGCAGCCCCCUGGGCCAGCACUGACGCUCAUGCACGAAAGCGUGGGGAGCAAACAGG